GCAAACUUGGUCAUUUAGAGGAAGUAAAAGUCGUAACAAGGUUUCCGUAGGUGAACCUGCGGAAGGAUCAUUAUUGAAUAAACAUGAUGGGUUGUAGCUGGCUCUUUUGGAGCAUGUGCACACUUGUCGUCUUUAUCCAUCCACCUGUGCACAAUCUGUAGUCUUGGGGGGGAAAAGAAAGCAAUGCAAAUUGUUAGUAAUGGAUCUCCUGAGUCUAUGUAUUCAUUAUAGACCACAUAGCAAGUUGCAGAAUGUAUUUAAUGGGUCUCUGUACCUAUAAAAACUUUAUACAACUUUCAGCAACGGAUCUCUUGGCUCUCGCAUCGAUGAAGAACGCAGC
rnacentral:misc_RNA from 1 species